rnacentral:rRNA from 1 species
UGGGGAAUAUUGCACAAUGGAGGAAACUCUGAUGCAGCGAUGCCGCGUGAGGGAAGAAGGUUUUCGGAUUGUAAACCUCUGUCUUCAGGGACGAUAAUGACGGUACCUGAGGAGGAAGCUCCGGCUAACUACGUGCCAGCAGCCGCGGUAAUACGUAGGGAGCAAGCGUUGUCCGGAAUUACUGGGUGUAAAGGGAGUGUAGGCGGGAUGGUAAGUUAGGUGUGAAAUCUAUGGGCUCAACCCAUAAAUUGCACUUAAAACUGCUGUUCUUGAGUGAAGUAGAGGUUAGCGGAAUUCCUAGUGUAGCGGUGAAAUGCGUAGAUAUUAGGAGGAACAUCAGUGGCGAAGGCGGCUAACUGGGCUUUUACUGACGCUGAGGCUCGAAAGCGUGGGGAGCAAACAGG